UACGUAGGGUGCGAGCGUUGUCCGGAAUUACUGGGCGUAAAGAGCUCGUAGGUGGUUUGCCGCGUUGUUCGUGAAAACUCACAGCUCAACUGUGGGCGUGCGGGCGAUACGGGCAGACUGGAGUACUGCAGGGGAGACUGGAAUUCCUGGUGUAGCGGUGGAAUGCGCAGAUAUCAGGAGGAACACCGGUGGCGAAGGCGGGUCUCUGGGCAGUAACUGACGCUGAGGAGCGAAAGCGUGGGGAGCGAACAGG
rnacentral:rRNA from 1 species